GCAUAUACACACGUAUCAUGUUGGGUUAAUUCAUGUUCUACGUGCAUGAGUGUUUACUUUGGCAAAUUAACUUAAUUUUGUUUCUUGCGCUACUUUACAACUUUGUUUCUAUCAACAACACAAUUUCUAGAGCAGUACUGUGGGGGACAGAUAUCUCCCGGGUCCACCGGAAGGAUAAAAGACCUCACGAAAGGCCCGUGGGCCCAAUAAUUCGCGAGAUCAUCCCUUCGUGGGCCUAGGAAAGAACGCCUAGUGAAGUGGAUCGACACAAGAUCAGAUUGACGCAAGCCUAGGCGGCCUGAUGAAUCCGAGCAGUGAUCACAACAGUGACCCGACCUUCCCGCGCAGGAGCCCCGUACAUCGGAACUGAGCGAGGAUGGGUUGACUCAAUUAUAGGAAGAUAGACUCAAUCAGUUCACUAUUACUUAGGCGCACGUUGUUAUCAUAUCCGCAUGUAAUGCCCCACGGUCGAGUAUAUAAGGCCUAGGGGGCACCCCUUCAAGACGAUCGACCUCAUUACCUAGCCACCAACACCGGCUCUCUACGUUUCCAACACUAGAGAACCUCCUUGUAACCCACCAUAUAAAGUACUCACGCCAGGACGUAGGGUGUUACGCAUCUCAAAGCGGCCUGAACCUG
rnacentral:lncRNA from 7 species